UCUCUUGGUUCUGGCAUCGAUGAAGAACGCAGCGAAAUGCGAUAAGUAGUGUGAAUUGCAGAAUUCAGUGAAUCAUCGAAUCUUUGAACGCACAUUGCGCCCUUUGGUAUUCCAAAGGGCAUGCCUGUUCGAGCGUCAUUUGUACCCUCAAGCUUUG
rnacentral:rRNA from 1 species